rnacentral:rRNA from 1 species
AGUGAACGCUGGCGGUAGGCCUAACACAUGCAAGUCGAACGGCAGCACAGGAGAGCUUGCUCUCUGGGUGGCGAGUGGCGGACGGGUGAGGAAUACAUCGGAAUCUACUUUGUCGUGGGGGAUAACGCAGGGAAACUUGCGCUAAUACCGCAUACGACCUACGGGUGAAAGCAGGGGAUCUUCGGACCUUGCGCGAUUGAAUGAGCCGAUGUCGGAUUAGCUAGUUGGCGGGGUGAAGGCCCACCAAGGCGACGAUCCGUAGCUGGUCUGAGAGGAUGAUCAGCCACACUGGAAAUAAGACACGGUCCAGACUCCUACGGGAGGCAGCAGUGGGGAAUAUUGGACAAUGGGCGCAAGCCUGAUCCAGCCAUACCGUGUGGGUGAAGAAGGCCUUCGGGUUGUAAAGCCCUUUUGUUGGGAAAGAAAAGCAGCCGGUUAAUACCCGGUUGUUCUGACGGUACCCAAAGAAUAAGCACCGGCUAACUUCGUGCCAGCCGCCGCCGUAA